GUCUAUGGCCAUACCACCCUGAAUGCGCCGGAUCUCUUCCGAUCUCGGAAGCCAAGCAGGGUCCGGCUUGGUUAGUACUUGGAUGGUAGGCCGCCUGGGAAUACCGGGUGCUGUAGGCU
rnacentral:rRNA from 1 species